AAUCCAUCCGGUACUCUAUCCCCUCCAUAUCGUCGUCUUCCUCCUCGUCGGCGGCGGCGUGUACCAUUCGCCGCCGCUCCGGCUUCCUCGCUCUCCUCCUCUUCGUCUUCUUGCAGGUGCGCACCCCAUCGCUUCGUCGCCGUAAUGGCCCAAUGUUAGUUCCAUCGCCGCACGAACCUUAGGGUUCCUUCGUUACCACAUCCGAACCCGGUUCCAUCCAUCCCGCCGCACCUCGUGAUCCAUACCCCCUCCAUCAGAUCGGCGGUGGCCAUCCCCUAUUGCUCUUUACCUUUGGGGCCUUGGAUUUCCGGUGAGCGCGGGGUCCCGGGAGCUUCCCUGGAUGCCGCAAUGUACAGGUCAUCUGACUCCUGAGGUCAGGAACUCGAAUCAUGUUUCUUCUCAAAUCACCAAAUAUGCAUUCUGUUUGACUGGGUAGGGUGUGGAGUUUCACCAUUCUAAUUGAUACAGUAAUACGGAUUCGAAUCAGAUAGUAAUAAUGGCCAAGAUGCAUGACACCAUUGUACAUUAUCAGGAGGAACCUUACCUGUGUGCAUCGCUCAUGAAGUCUGUUAAAGGGGGAGCAGCUAUGGGGGAUGCACACAUGGACAGCGAACACGAUUCGAGGUACUUUACUUUACACAUGUGAAAUCUUACCGAUUCUGUUCCUUCUUCACUUUGGCAUUAAAGGAUAAGGUAGUUGUCAUCCUCAUUUCUUAUUCAGUGCUUUAUAGAGAGCAAAAGCAAUGUGCCAUGUUCUGUCUUCAGCUAGAGGUGUUUUGUACAACUCUGGUGAAGCGAUGAGACGAUUGAGAGUUAUGCUGCUGUCUACAGAAACAGAACAAUAUAUCGGUGCAGUUAAGAAGCAGAACACAUUACUGUUGCAGCAUGCUACGAACACGGUUCCCAUGCGCUUUCACUUCCUGCAUAUGCAGCUGACAACUGGUUAUUAUUUUCGUGAUCGUGUGAUUGAGGAGUACUUUCGUGGUGCUGCUUUGAAGGAAGAAGAAGAUAGAGCAAUGCAUGAGGAUAGGUCAUUCUACCACUAUGCAAUAUUUAUUUUCAGACAAUGUCCUUGCAGCCUUGGUAGUUGUCAGAUCAACUGUGACACAUGCCAUGGAGCCACAGAACCAAAGUUCCAUUUCGUCACCGUCUCACCAACAGACUUAAUUUGCAGCUAUGGCGAUGUGGUUUAUCAGUCAUCCUCCUGGUCCGCUACUGUCCAUGUGGAGAACGUUGACAAUUUUUUAAGUGGUGUCAAUCUGCUCGGUUCUACGGCAACUUGAGCCAUCUCAGCUCAAACAAUAUUAUUUUAGAACACAUAAUCCAUUUUCAUUUUCUGAUGGAAAUGAGAAUAUGAAGUAUCGAAGGCCCAAAUAUCUGUCUAUUCUUAACCAUCUAAGACUCCGGAUCCUAGAUCGCCCCUCUGCCACCGCCCCCACCUCCGCUGCCAGCUCCACCCCCUGCCACCCCCACCUCCUCCGCCAGCUCCUCCCGCCGCCACCCCCAGAUCCGCCCGUCGCUGCCAGCUCCGCCUAUCGCCGCCCCCACCUCUGCCCGGCGCCCGCCCCCACCUCCGCCCAUGCCCCCACCUCCGCCCGUCGUCGCCUGCUUGAUCUGAUGGAGAGUAGUAGGGACUGUGUUACACGGACACGGACACGGGUGUCGGAGUCCGACUCGGGUGCGGGUGUCCGAUUCGGCAAACUAUAAAGAGGAUUCGUCGAGGAUUCAUCAAGGAUUCGUCAUAUAUAUAUUAUUAGUUUUAUUU